ACGGAGGGUGCGAGCGUUGUCCGGAAUCAUUGGGCGUAAAGGGCGCGUAGGUGGCCCGCUCAGCGUGCGGUGAAAGCCUGGGGCUCAACCCCGGGUCGGCCGUGCGAACUGGUGGGCUGGAGCACUGUAGAGGCAGAUGGAAUUCCGGGUGUAGCGGUGGAAUGCGUAGAGAUCCGGAAGAACACCAGUGGCGAAGGCGGUCUGCUGGGCAGUGGGAGCUUCGGCUCUCUUUAGCCGACACUGAGGCGCGACAGCGUGGGGAGCAAACAGGA
rnacentral:rRNA from 1 species